AAGCCAUUGGUGAGGGAAAUCACGUUCGUAGACCUUGAAACAUUCCCAUGCUUCAUAGAAAGAUUCGACAGGUCCUUGUUGCAAUCCUUGCAGCUUGUUUCUAAGAUA